UCAGACCAGCAGAUUCCCACUGUUUAUCCACUGUUUGUGUUGAUGCAGUGUCUGGCCAGCCACUUGUGUGUAUGUAGGGGACUCAGACCAGCAGAUUCCCACUGUUUAUCCACUGUUUGUGUUGAUGCAGUGUCUGGCCAGCCACUAGUGUGUUUUGGGGACUCAGACCAGCAGAUUCCCACUGUUUAUCCACUGUUUGUGUUGAUGCAGUGUCUGGCCAGCCACUUGUGUGUAUGUAGGGGACUCAGACAAAUUUAUUUACUGUUCAGUGACCCGUUUGCAGGCACAGGGGUGUUGACGAGCUGGGUGUGCAGGAGACAGACAAUUAGAAAGGUUUACAGUUCAAAUGCUACAUGUAUCUUCAAAAUACAGAUAAUAAGUAGAUAAAUAUUGAAAUUAAUAUAAAAUACCAUUGUGUAUUUAACACUUAACCAAACUUAACCAACGUACACACACAAACGCUAACUCCGACAGUACCCUAACUACCUUGCCAUCCCGCAGGAGGCCACGUCAGAGGUGCCUGUGGUGGGGUCGCCAGUUCCGGAGUACGAGGUGGAGGAGGAAGAGGAAGAGGAGGACGAGGAGGAGGCACGGAUGAGGAAGAAGAAAAGAUCAUUAGCUGUAGCUCUCCCUCCAGCUGAUAAGGGGAUAUUAAUGAGGCCUUCCUACAGGUACUCUCCCAGCCGUGUCACAGCUGAUGAUGAUGAUGAUGAUGAUGAUGCCAUGCCCACCCCCAGCCUGAGCCACCCUCCACCCACCCCAGCCCUCACCAAGCCUCCUUCAGUACCCCUCCACACCACCACCACCACCACCAGCGACGCAACAGCCUCAUCUACCUCAGCCGGCCCACCCCCUGGCCCGACCCCCUCCCUGACAGUGGCCCCCCCACGGCAGGCAAGAAGAAGAAGGAGGAGAAAGUAUCAAUAAUCGUACAGAUUCGCGACGAGGAAUCCAGACUGAAACAGGCGCUGGGUUUAAAGAACAUAAUUUUCAACCCUUACGGUCCUGGCCUGGCCCCGAUUGCCAAGCUGCUGGACACCCCUGAGGAGCUGAAGCGUUUUGAGCCCAAGGGCUGCACCAUGAAGGUCCGGCCGGAGGAGAACGAGGCUCGGCUGAACAGAAACAAAGAACGGGGGCGCAGGGACAGGCCGGAGAGGGUCGACAGAAUGGACCGCCCCAGGGCAAAGGAGAAGGACAGACGCACGGACGCACAGGCCACGCAGGUCCGCUCCAUCCACCCACCCGUGCACAGAAAUGCUGGUAUCUCCACGUUGACAACUGGCCAGAGGAAGUAAGGACAGUACCUUGUGUCCCUGCCUCUGCUACCCCACCCCCUGCCCCGCCCCCUGCCCCAGCCCCCCCGCACACAAGUCGGCCAAGUCCAAGUGGGACUCUGACACAGAAGAGCAAGUGGACGGACAGAAGUGAGGGGAGAGAGAGAGGAGGAAGAGAAGGAGGAGAGGAAGGAAAAUAAAAAUAUAAUCAAGAAUUUGGAGGAAGAGGAAGACCAGGAGGUACAGGUGAAGGAAGAGGAGGAAGAGGAAUAGACUAUCCCAGAGAAGAUGAAGGAAGAGGAGGAAGAGGAGGAGGAGGAGGAGGAGGAAGAGAAGGAAGAGUGAGGCAAAGGUCUUCCCCGAUUGUUUGACCGAAGAAUACGAAGCUUUCCUUAUGAUGGUGGAUGGAGGAGGAGGAGGAGGAGGAGGAGGAGGAGGAGGAGGAGGAGGAGAGGAGAAAGAGGAGGAAGAGGAAGAGGAGGAGGAGGAAGGAAGAUGCAAGAGAGAGGUCACAUCACUAUAUAAAGAAGAGGAGGAAGACUACAUGAAAAUUGAAGAAGAGGAGGAGGAAAGAAGAAGAAAGAGGAUGAGAGAGGAGGAGGAGGAAGAGGAAGAGGAGAAGAAAGAACAGAAGACCCUGGAGAAGAUGAAGAAGAAGAGGAAGAAGCAAAUGAAGGAGAAGAGGAGGCAGAAGAAACUGGAAAAGAAGGCAAAGAAGAAGAGGAAGGAGAAAGAGAGGAAGAGGGUCAAGAGGAGGAGGAAGAGCAGUGAUAGUUCAGUACAAAUGGAGGAGGAGGAGGAGGAGGAGAGAAGACUUACAAGAGAUAAGAGGAAGAGGAAAUAAGAAUGGACUGCAAUAAGUGGCAGAGAGGAGGAGGAGGAGGACGAUAAACGCAUCACCUCGAGGAAGAAGAAGGAGGAGGAGGAGGAGGAAGAGGAAGAGGAACAAGAAGAGGGUAGAAGAUUCAGCAGACACUCGGAUAAUGGUGAAAGCCCCUCUUAUACUCCACCAAGAAGACUGCAAGAACAGGAGAAGGAAGAGGAGGAAGAGGAAGAAGAGGAGGAGGAAGAGGAGCCACUUUCCCCAUUGGCUCGGUUGGGGUCGAUAGCAAGGAGUCACCAAGGGAGUCAUCGCCAAAACGGGGCAGAACCGGGGCAUUCCGGGUCACCUCAGGGUCAGAGAGGAGCUACCCGGCCAGCGACACGUCUGGGUACUAUGACCUGACCCCGGACUCCUCCAGCGGGGCAUCCGGGGCAAAGACAUUCAAUUUAGAGGAUAUUCCGUACCCUACCAGAGAGAGUGAGAGGCACAGCCCCUCCAACAUGUCCCUCUCCUCCUCCUCCUCUGCCCCACCCACCCCGCCCCGCCCCCCACCCCAGACACCCUGGAUGCCAUCCCCAUUCCCCCACCCACCCUGGACCUCACCAACAUCCCCAAGCCGCCCGUCACCUUCACCAUCACCCCGCCAUCCCCCAUCCCCAGGCCCAAGAAGGACCCCCUGCCAAGACCCAAGCCCCCGGUCCCCCUUCCUCCCAUGGCAGCUGCCCCACUGCCCCCCUUAUCCGUCCCCUUGCCCUGCCCCACGCCUGCCCACAGGGAGGAGUCCCUACCAGCCUCGCCGCCCCGGGAGGUGCCCCCCAUCGGAGGGGCGCCGGUGUCCCCCGGGGGACAUGACAGCGACGACGACGAGCCCCCCGUCCUGCAUCCCCCGGCCCCCGAGCCCCGCCCCACCCACCACCAGCCACACCACCAUAUAGUGUGGUCACAUUAUUGUCAUCAUGAUCAGGCCGCCGCGGGCCGUGGUGGCGUGGCGCCGCGGCCUUCACCCUGCUCAUGACACACGAUUCCGCGCCGCCGGCCAGGGACCUCAGCACCGCCUUGAUUCGCGCUAACACUUACCAGGCCUUGGCUUCCUGCGGCCUUCACCCUGCUCAUGACACAUGAAUCCACGCCGGCCGGGACCUUACGCCUUCGAUUACUCCCGCAGCCCAGCCCGCCCCUACCACCACAGCCCGCACACCCUAGAGCGCCCCCCACAUGCUGGCCUCUUCCCUGCUUCACGGCCAGGCCAGAUGGCUACUCAGUGCCUGGCGUGGCGGCCUCAGGGCGUGGCAGCCGCCACACCCCCGAGGGCUCCCCGCCCCCAGACCACUGCCACGGCCCACACAUCCCAGAGCGCCCCCCACAUGCUGGCGGCUUCCCUGCUUCACCGCCAGGCCAGAUGGCUACUCAGGGUGUGGCGGCUGCCACACCCCCGAGGGCUCCCCGCCCCCAGACCACUGCCAGUACCACAGCCCCGUGGUGCAGUACCACAGCAGCAUCAGUCCUCCCUUCUCCCGCAGCCCCCCGUGGAGCCCCGAUGGGGGGCGCCGCGCCAGCCCCACAGGGUGGCGCAGUCCAUGCUACCAGCACCACCACCACCACCACUACACUGCCCCACCCCGCGACCGCUGGAGCCCCCAGUGCUCCCCACGCCGUGUUACCGUGUUACCCGCUCUCUGUUACCCUCUCCCCGGGGCGCCGCUCAUCACCCCCAGACCGCCGUGCCUCCCCGGAGCGGGGCCGCUCACCACCCAGCCGCUCCCCACGCUACUCCCCGCGCCAUUCCCAUUCCCGGGGGCUGAGGUCCCCCUGCCGCUCCCCCUCCCCACUGGGUGAGGUGUACCCCUACGAGCGGCGGGGCUGGGGCUGCGCAGCCAGGGAGUGGGAGGCUCUCACCACCACCAUCACAGCCCCAAGGCAGAGCAGAGAAAUAGGGAGGGCAAGGGCUAUGGGUACUCUCCCCCUGCCGGCAAUAUUUGAUGACGACCUCCGGAUCAUGAGCGAGGCAGAGAUGUUCUCCAUGGGGUUCCACAAGGGGGAGAACAGCGAGUCUCCCCCCACCCCCCUCGCUCCCCCUUCCCCAACACCCUCGACGCCAAGUCUUUGGGUACUCUCCCAGCCGUGUCACAGCUGAUGAUGAUGAUGCCACCCCCACCCCCAGCCUGAGCCACCCUCCACCCACCCCAGCCCUCACCAAGCCUCCUCCAGUAACCACCACCACCACCACCACCAGCGACGUAACACCCCACCCCACCCCUCCCCAGACCACAGGCAAGGUGACAGGCAAGGCAUGUGAGAUCCCAGACUGUUGGAUGUGACGCCACAAGACACAGGGCUUCGUAACACCAGUGCACGGUGAUCAAGACAACACUGGACCAGAAAGACGCAAAGUACAGGGAACAACACAGUGCUUCUUCAUUUUAGGUGAGCCAGAAUGAGCUUGUUAAACUGAGCGGCCUCUUCAAGUACCACUGGAACUGUUCGUCAGAGGAGGAGGAGGAGGUAAGGGAGUGCGCCAAGACCCUUUACAGCGGUGCAAAGGAGUGGAGGGAGAUGAGGAGAAAUUUGAAAGAGAACAGAAGUAGAAUGACAUCAGAUAGCAGGAGUCCUUAGGAUUUAGCACAAUAAGAUCAAUAAUUCUCUUACAUGAGUGACCUAAAGUAAGGCAGUUUAGUCUGGCCUAACUUAACUGAGCUACCUAUUUCUGUUAUGAGCUAAGAUAGGCUAUGUUAGGUUAUAUUAAAUUAUAUAAUUAUUAUUUUUUUUCAUCAUUAUUAUUAAAGAAAGGAAAUAGAACCGAGAAAAUAAAGUUAAAAAUUAUUGUUA